AGAGUUUGAUCCUGGCUCAGAACGAACGCUGGCGGCAUGCCUAACACAUGCAAGUCGAACGGGAUCCAGCCUUCGGGUUGGUGAGAGUGGCGGACGGGUGAGUAACGCGUGGGAACCUGCCCAGUGGUGGGGGAUAACUGCGGGAAACUGCAGCUAAUACCGCAUGAGCCCGAGAGGGGAAAGAUUUAUCGCCAUUGGAGGGGCCCGCGUUCGAUUAGGUAGUUGGUAGGGUAAUGGCCUACCAAGCCGACGAUCGAUAGCUGGUCUGAGAGGAUGAUCAGCCACACUGGGACUGAGAUACGGCCCAGACUCCUACGGGAGGCAGCAGUGGGGAAUAUUGGACAAUGGGGCAACCCUGAUCCAGCAAUGCCGCGUGAGUGAUGAAGGCCUUCGGGUUGUAAAGCUCUUUUGCCAGGGACGAUGAUGACGGUACCUGGAGAAUAAGCCCCGGCUAACUUCGUGCCAGCAGCCGCGGUAAUAC
rnacentral:rRNA from 1 species